UACCGGCGGCCCGAGUGGCGGCCGUGUUUAUUGGGCCUAAAGGGUCCGUAGCCGGCCCCGUAAGUCUCCCGGGAAAUCGGGCGGCUCAACCGUCCGCUUCCGGGAGAUACUGCGGGGCUAGGGACCGGGAGAGGCCGGGGGUACUCCCGGGGUAGGGGUAAAAUCCUAUAAUCCCGGGGGGACCACCUGUGGCGAAGGCGCCCGGCUGGAACGGGUCCGACGGUGAGGGACGAAGGCCGGGGGAGCAAACAGG
rnacentral:rRNA from 1 species